AGACAAAAUAUAUAUAUAUAUAUAUAUAUAUAUAUACAUAUAUAUACACAUAUAUAAAUAUUGUCUAUAAAUUCGAGACAAUUAAUGAAAGUAACACGAUGCGUUCUACUAUAAACAAGAUGAGAACUAUAAUAGAAUUAUGUUUAAUAUAGUUGUCUUUCAUUUUCGAUAUGAUUGCGAAUUUCUGUAUUCAAUAAUGUAAUGAAUACGAAACACGUAACGCGAUUGUUUGUAUCUGUUUUAUAACGUAUUGAAUUCAUUAUCGAAAUAUAAAAUUCUAAUAAAUAUCUUAAA